rnacentral:rRNA from 1 species
UAGGGAAUCUUCCGCAAUGGGCGAAAGCCUGACGGAGCAACGCCGCGUGAGUGAUGAAGGUCUUCGGAUCGUAAAACUCUGUUAUUAGGGAAGAACAUAUGUGUAAGUAACUGUGCACAUCUUGACGGUACCUAAUCAGAAAGCCACGGCUAACUACGUGCCAGCAGCCGCGGUAAUACGUAGGUGGCAAGCGUUAUCCGGAAUUAUUGGGCGUAAAGCGCGCGUAGGCGGUUUUUUAAGUCUGAUGUGAAAGCCCACGGCUCAACCGUGGGAGGGUCAUUGGAAACUGGAAAACUUGAGUGCAGAAGAGGAAAGUGGAAUUCCAUGUGUAGCGGUGAAAUGCGCAGAGAUAUGGAGGAACACCAGUGGCGAAGGCGACUUUCUGGUCUGUAACUGACGCUGAUGUGCGAAAGCGUGGGGAUCAAACAGGAUUAGAUACCCUGGUAGUCCACGCCGUAAACGAUGAGUGCUAGGUGUUAGACCCUUUCUGGGGUUUAGUGCCGCAGCUAACGCAUUAAGCACUCCGCCUGGGGAGUACGACCGCAAGGUUG